GAUGAAGAACGCAGCGAAAUGCGAUAAGUAAUGUGAAUUGCAGAAUUCAGUGAAUCAUCGAAUCUUUGAACGCACAUUGCGCCCGUCAGUAUUCUGGCGGGCAUGCCUGUUCGAGCGUCAUUACGCCCCUCAAGUCCCCUGUGGACUUGGUGUUGGGGAUCGGCGAGGCUGGUUUUCCAGCACAGCCGUCCCUUAAAUUAAUUGGCGGUCUCGCUGUGGCCCUCCUCUGCGCAGUAGUAAAACACUCGCAACAGGAGCCCGGCGCGGUCCACUGCCGUAAAACCCCCCAACUUUUUAUAGUUGACCUCGAAUCAGGUAGGACUACCCGCUGAACUUAAGCAUAUCAAUAAGCGGAGGA
rnacentral:misc_RNA from 1 species